UACGUAGGUGGCAAGCGUUGUCCGGAAUUAUUGGGCGUAAAGAGCUCGUAGGCGGUUUGUCGCGUCUGCCGUGAAAGUCCGGGGCUCAACUCCGGAUCUGCGGUGGGUACGGGGCAGACUAGAUGUGAUGGUAGGGGAGACUGGAAUUCCUGGUGUAGCGGUGAAAUGCGCAGAUAUCAGGAGGAACACCGAUGGCGAAGGCAGGUCUCUGGGCAUUAACUGACGCUGAGGAGCGAAAGCAUGGGGGAGCGAACAGG
rnacentral:rRNA from 1 species